rnacentral:rRNA from 1 species
UACGUAGGGUGCAAGCGUUAAUCGGAAUUACUGGGCGUAAAGCGUGCGCAGGCGGUUUUGUAAGUUCUGUCGUGAAAGCCCCGGGCUCAACCUGGGAAUUGCGAUGGAGACUGCAAGGCUUGAAUCUGGCAGAGGGGGGUAGAAUUCCACGUGUAGCAGUGAAAUGCGUAGAGAUGUGGAGGAACACCGAUGGCGAAGGCAGCCCCCUGGGUCAAGCAUGAGCUCAUGCACGAAAGCGUGGGGAGCAAACAGG